AGGUACUUUCUGUGGCAUGUUUUCAUGAUGUGGGAAUAAGACUUGGUGGUCAAAUACAGCUAAUAUGUAGGUUAGCACCACAGCUUGUCUGCAAGGAUUGAAGCUGGGAAACGGCCAUUGGAGCUGAAUUUUAUGGAAGCUGUGGCUGCAGCAAUGAUUAUGUGAUAAAACUGAAGAAUGUUAUUCAAAUUUUUUUUGUAUAUAUUUCAAAAAAUGUAAUUUUUUAUAAAAAAAAAAAAAAAAAAAAAAAAGGUGUAAAGAUUCUCCAUUUUCAAUUAGAUUGGAAGCUUGUAUUUACAAUUGUUAGAUCUUCUUCGUUAUUCCCCCACCCCCUGUAUCUCUAUUUCAUUUUUACUUUGAAAAUGAAAUGGAACAGACAAAUUUUACUUGUCAACUUAAUAAUGGUCUGUCUAGUCAAAAGGCCUCCAGUUGGUUUAGAAUGGAGAAUCUAAAAAAAAAUAUGUAAAGUGUUUUUUUUUUAGUUUCCUGAAUUUUUAUAUACAUUUUGUUAUUGCUCCCUUUCAAUUUUUAUAAAUUCCAGAUUUUAAGUUUUGGAUUUAUGGGGCUUUAUUCAUAAAAAAGGGGGAUUUUUCACACCUGGACAAUAACUCAAAAAGCCGCUUUCACCAAUGUCCAUGAAACUUUGGUGAAUUGUUUAUAUCUAUUGACAUAAGCUCCCUUUCCCUUUUUAUUAAUUUUAGAUUUUACGUUUUCUUAAGUAAUGAAUUUUUAUACUUAAAAAAGGGGGAUUUUAUGCAUUUUUGGUGAAACUUAAAAGAGCAACGGCCGUAUCAUGUUCUAAAGCGCAUCCCUUUAUUGAAAUGUGUUGUAGUUUUUACAUAUUAUUAUUUCUUUAUUUUAAUUAUACAAAUUUUGUAUUGUUAAAUAUUUAAAGGGUGUGGAGUCUCAACAGGGUGAAAUUUUCAGGACAAAAGGGAGGUAAUUCCUUUGUUAUACUCAUUAUACUUGAAAUUUCCUGAGUGUUUAUAUGGAAUAUAACUUUUUUAAUUAAAAUAUUCACUUUUGUACACAUUUUCUUUAAAUAUCAGAUGUAUACUUGCUAAAAUUACUAUUAUUUAGAGUUCUGUAAAUAAAAAAAAAUGUAAGCAGAGCUCUAGCUAUAGAUAAUAGAUUUGGAGGGUGGGAGAAAUUGUGGGUAACUACAAUUGAUUAGGUGAAAUUUCAAAAGACUUAAAAAGUGCAUCUGAUAUUUAUUUUUACAUAAUGUUAUUUCUGAAAGCAAAUGGACAAAUUAUAAGAUGAGGACAUAAACCACCUUCCAGGUUAGGAUAGCAGCUCUUAAGGAAGAUGGUCAAUUAAAUCUUCAACCCAGUCUGAGGCCUUACCAUGAAAAAUAUGUGGUUAGCAUCACAAGUUUCCUUUGGGUAACUUGCUUGAGGAGUAAAGAGAGCUGUUUAAGUUGAAAGUGUCACCUUUGAUGCCUUGUGUGGUACAAUCUUCAGACAAUAUCCUGCAAACCGUGGCUGAACUGUUACUAUCUUUUUUUAGUAGAAUCCUUAGACAGUAAUCUUGUGGCAGAAUGAGUUGUAAACAAAUUGUUUUUAUUCCUGUAUUGAGUUUCAAAUUGGAUAUUUUUUAUUUAUAUUAUUUGUAUUCCAUUUGCAUUCAAUUAUUGUUCUUUAAUUGAUGAAUCAUUAAAACUUAAAUUUUGCGGGGUCCUAAAGGACUUUCUUAGAGGGGGCCAGCGCAAUUGAUUAAACGAAAUUUUUCCCGCAACAGGGAGAGGAGACAUCCCCAUAAAUAUGCCUUUGAAAUGGGGUGUUAAAGAAGAUUUGUAUUGUUUGUUAGUUUUUCCAUCAUAAGCUCUCAUCCACAGCUUGGUAGAUUUUCAUUGAAACUUUCAGCUGAUUUUCUGUACUAAAGGCAGUAUGUUUUUUAAUUUAUUAUAAUGAAAUUUUGGGUUUUCCCAACCUUUUUGAAGUGAAAACAAUGGAACACAGUGUUGGCAGAUACUGAAGAUUAUUUGAAAGUUUAGAGAAAGUCCCAUUUAAUCUUGAUAAUUGUGGGUUAAAGUUGUAGAUGGAUAAACAAACAUAUCAUACACUUACUCACUUUACCUAUUUGCGAAUCCAGAACUUAACAUAAAGGGGCCCAACACCAGUCAUUUCCUGUACAAUCAACCAAAUUUUUCCUCCGAAAGGGGUUUGGGGGGGGGGGGGAUAUUUAAUAAAGAUUAAUAUGCU